CAAGUUCGGAGCGGUAGAGAGGAAGCUUGCUUCUCUUGAAGAGCGGCGGACGGGUGAGUAAUGCCUAGGAAUCUGCCUAGUGGUGGGGGAUAACGUUCGGAAACGGACGCUAAUACCGCAUACGUCCUACGGGAGAAAGCGGGGGAUCUUCGGACCUCGCGCCAUUAGAUGAGCCUAGGUCGGAUUAGCUAGUUGGUGAGGUAAUGGCUCACCAAGGCGACGAUCCGUAACUGGUCUGAGAGGAUGAUCAGUCACACUGGAACUGAGACACGGUCCAGACUCCUACGGGAGGCAGCAGUGGGGAAUAUUGGACAAUGGGCGAAAGCCUGAUCCAGCCAUGCCGCGUGUGUGAAGAAGGUCUUCGGAUUGUAAAGCACUUUAAGUUGGGAGGAAGGGUAGUAACCUAAUACGUUGCUACUUUGACGUUACCGACAGAAUAAGCACCGGCUAACUUCGUGCCAGCAGCCGCGGUAAUACGAAGGGUGCAAGCGUUAAUCGGAAUUACUGGGCGUAAAGCGCGCGUAGGUGGUUCAGUAAGUUGGAAGUGAAAUCCCCGGGCUCAACCUGGGAACUGCUUUCAAAACUGCUGAGCUAGAGUACGGUAGAGGGUGGUGGAAUUUCCUGUGUAGCGGUGAAAUGCGUAGAUAUAGGAAGGAACACCAGUGGCGAAAGGCGACCACCUGGACUGAUACUGACACUGAGGUGCGAAAGCGUGGGGAGCAAACAGGAUUAGAUACCCUGGUAGUCCACGCCGUAAACGAUGUCAACUAGCCGUUGGAAU
rnacentral:rRNA from 1 species